rnacentral:rRNA from 1 species
UACGAAGGGGGCUAGCGUUGUUCGGAAUCACUGGGCGUAAAGCGCACGUAGGCGGAUCUUUAAGUCAGGGGUGAAAUCCCGAGGCUCAACCUCGGAACUGCCUUUGAUACUGGGGAUCUCGAGUCCGGGAGAGGUGAGUGGAACUGCGAGUGUAGAGGUGAAAUUCGUAGAUAUUCGGAAGAACACCAGUGGCGAAGGCGGCUCACUG